AUGUCAAGUGCAUCACUGCCGUCCAACCUAGCACAACCAGUACAGCAGACAAUGCCCACUUCUAAUUUAUUUUCAAGUAACACGGUGCAUGCCAUGGAUAAUCCAAACCAUGUAAGGCAACAAGAGCUUGUCCCACGGUUAUAUCAACUCAGCUAUGACUGCAGAAAUGGAGGGAUAUCUAUGUCGCUUUGGCCUCGGGAUGAUGGUACUGACCCUCUUAUAAGGUAUCAGGGUGAGAAGGACGUGAUGGAAAAUACGGCAACUAUGGACAUGACCCAUGGAAUUCAGAAUGCUGCAGCCAUGGAUAUGAUCCAUGGAAUUCAGAAUGCUGCAACCAUGGACAUGCCACAAGGAAUGCAGAAUGCUGCAAUUGGGGAGACGGCCAAGGAAAUGCUUGGAGAUGGUCCUGCUGGUCAGACCGGUGCAGUGCAGCCUCAUGGCCUCGGCAGUGAAGUUUUCAACUGGGAGAACACUAGUUUUGAAACAGCUGGUACAUCAGGUGGAGGAGCAAUAGUAACAGAUGAAAUGCUUGAUUGGCUAACUACCGAUGAAUUUGAAAACCUUACCAAUUGGUCUGAACUCUGA
rnacentral:rRNA from 1 species